UCUAUCGUCUGUCUGACAAACCAACACUAUCUACUAUCGUCUGUCUGACAAACCAACACCUCACUGACCACACAGACAUUCAACCUCUAUCUAUCUAUCGUCUGCCUGACAACCCCCACACUCCACUGACCACACAGACAUUCAACCCUCUAUCAUCUGUCUACAAACCAACCAUUAUUUACAGCCUAUCUAUCCUCUUCUAAAACAUAUAGAUAAUUUGGCUUUGAUUGGAUGACUAUAAAUGGGUAUGUCCCAUUUAACACACAGACAUUCAACCCUCUAUCGUCUGUCUGACAAACCACACCCCCACUGACCACACAGACAUUCAAUCCUCUAUCUAUCGUCUGCCUGACAAACCAACACCCCACUGACCACACAGACAUUCAAUCCUCUAUCGUCUGUCUGACAAACCAACACCUCACUGACCACACAGACAUUCAACCCUCUAUCGUCUGUCUGACAACCAACACCUCACUGACCAACACAACAUUCAACCCUCUAUCGUCUGCCUGACAACCCAACACCUCAUGACCACACAACAUUCAACUCUAUUAUCUACGUCUGCCUGACAAAACCCACACCUCACUGACCACACAGACAUUCAACCCUCUAUAAUCUGUCUGACAAACCAACCAUUAUUUUACAGCCAUCUAUCCUCUUCUAAAACAUAUAGAUAAUGGUUUGAGUGGAUGACUAUUUAAAUGGGUAUGUCCCAUUUAACCAACACGACAUUCACCCUCUAUCGCUGUCUGACAAACCAACACCCCCACUGACCACACAGACAUUCAAUCCUCUAUCUAUCGUCUGCCUGACAAACAACAACCCCACUGACCACACAGACAGACAUUCAAAUCCACCAUCUAUCGUC
rnacentral:lncRNA from 1 species